GACAGAGGAUGCAAGCGUUAUCCGGAAUGAUUGGGCGUAAAGCGUCUGUAGGUGGCUUUUUAAGUCCGCCGUCAAAUCCCAGGGCUCAACCCUGGACAGGCGGUGGAAACUACCAAGCUGGAGUACGGUAGGGGGCAGAGGGAAUUUCCGGUGGAGCGGUGAAAUGCGUAGAGAUCGGAAGACCACCGAUGGCGAAGGCACUCUACUGGGCCAUGACUGACACUGAGAGACGAAAGCUAGGGGAGCAAAUGGG
rnacentral:rRNA from 1 species